rnacentral:rRNA from 1 species
UUGGAGGGCAAGUCUGGUGCCAGCAGCCGCGGUAAUUCCAGCUCCAAUAGCGUAUAUUAAAGUUGUUGCAGUUAAAAAGCUCGUAGUUGAAUUUCGGGAUUAGUACGCUGGUCGUGCCUUCGGUACGUACUGGUGUUACUGAUUUCUACCUUCUGACGAACCAUCAUGUCAUUAAUUUGGUGUGGUGGGGAAUCACAGGACUGUUACUUUGAAAAAAUUAGAGUGUUUAAAGCAGGCUCGCGCUUGAAUACAUUAGCAUGGAAUAAUGAAAUAGGACGUUGAUCCUAUUUUGUUGGUUUCUAGGAUUGACGUAAUGAUUAAUAGGGAUAGUUGGGGGCAUUAGUAUUCAAUUGUCAGAGGUGAAAUUCUUGGAUUUAUUGAAGACUAACUACUGCGAAAGCAUUUGCCAAGGAUGUUUUCAUUAAUCAAGAACGAAAGUUAGGGGAUCGAAGACGAUCAGAUGCCGUCGUAGUCUUAACCAUAAACUAUGCCGACUAGGGAUCGGAUGAUGUUAUUUUUAAUGACUUAUUCGGCGCCUUACGGGAAAC